UCUACAUCAUCGUCAUUAUCAUACAUAAUAAUAGUGACGAAUGAGGUGAGCGGAGAGGCCGCCGUGUCCCGGGGUAGCUCGCUUUUCCCUCGCAGCUCGGUGAUCACAGAUCACAGUCCAGCCCGGGGACCUCGCGCUGCCCGCCCGGCUCCAGGCUCGAGCUCCCUGCCCCUAGACCAGACCCGCAGAUCGCGCCUGCCGGAGGGCAGCUGGCCGAGAGAGCCCGGCACGCAGGCUGGUGCAGGGGGCGACCGAGCGGAGUCCUUACCGCCGUGCGCUUCCGCCGAGCCCGCGUCCUCCUCCCACGCGCGACAGCGAUCACGUCCUGCAGGGAGCCCACCGGCCCCGGCCGACGCUGGUGUAGCGGGACUUUGACAUCGGCCUGGGGCUCUCGGCUCCGGUCCUCGCUUCCUCGUGUCCCUCUGGCGCCACCCCGCACACCGGGGGUCUCGAGCGCGACUGUCACUGUCCCGCGCGGGACAGAGCGCGGGGUGUGGGUGUUGACACAGCAGCUCUGUCUGGGGGGUCCUGCAUGCGGGGGCACUGACAGAUAACCACGCCGUGGAUGGCAAUGAGACCCACGGAGCCAGAGGCGCGAGGGAAGACGAUUCCGACGCAGUGCUUUCCAGAAGCUCGGUUUCUAGUGAUUUAAAUUCUGUAUUUCUAUGUCAUGGAAGGGACUCCGCCGCUCGCUUUACGGUUUUAAAGAAGGUGUCGUGCACAUCUGCUCCGGCCACAGAGAAACAGGGUGUAAAGGCUAAAGUAACCCACGGGGGACGAAGUUAUCUGCACAUGUAUACCGUCUCGAGUGGAGUUCAUGGACAACGACUGGCAAAAAAAAAGAGCAGAUCCCCAGCUCGCUUUGAAUAAGUCCAGAGGCGCGUAUACCGUAUAAUCCUGCACACUCGGUCUCUCCUCCCUCUCUCCCUCCCUCUGCCUCUCUCUCCCUCUCCCUCUCUCGCCCGGGAGCCCUCUGUCAGUCCACGCUCGGGGCACAGGAGACAGAUUGAAAGUGACAACAGUCCGGUCCCGGCUGCUGCCCUCGGUUCCCCGACAGCGACGGCGCGCCUGCCCGAGCCCUGUCCGGUGCGUGCCGCGCUGUGCCCGUGCCCGAGCCCGAGCCGGCGGCUCUGUCAUUGGCUGCCUCCGUUUCCUCCUUCGCUCCUCCGGCUCUGAUGUGUUGAUUGUGUCUC